AGUGGGGAUUUGAACAAUGAUGUAAACCAUCUUGAUAUUUAAGAUUUUCUUUUAUUUUUAAUUACGUGUUUAUAUAUCUGUAUGUGUGUGCACAUAUAUGCAGUUAAGUAGAGAGGAGAAGAGGACUGUUGGAGCUGGAGUCAUAGGCAGCUCUGAUCUACUGAAUUCAAUUCGUCCUCUGAAGAAAACAGGAAGUGUUCUUAACUGCCAAGUGGAACCAUCUCUCCAUCCCAUAGUAAUCUUAUUGACAUUUAAAAAACUAUAAAAAGCAGCUACAGGAUACAUAUUUUUUCAAUACACAUGGAAUAUCUGCUAAGAUAAAUCAUAUACUUGGCCAUAAAUAAAUCUAGCAGAAUUUAAAAGAUUAAAGUUGUGAAAUCAGAGCAGGAGAGAUGGUCGCUCAGCCAUUGAGGAUACUGGCCAGUCAUCAAGCAGACCCUGGCCCAGUUCCCAGUGCCCACAUGAGGGCUUACAGCCACCUGUAACUCCAGCUCCGCCAUGGUAGACGUCCUCUUCUGCCUUUCUCAAGCUUAAGGUUCCCAAGUGGUGCAGUGUUACAUGAAGAAAAAACACUCAGAUACACAUUUUUUAAAAAUUACUUUAAAGAGUAGAGCCUACAUAAUAAGUUCCAGGGCCACCUGGCAGACCUUAACUCUAAAGGUCUAAGGGGGAAAGGGGGAUCUUAAUUGCCUUUUGUCCAUUAAAAAAAUAGAAUUCGGUAUUUAAACUUUGCCACAAAUCAAAUUUCUAACUUGGAUAUUGUCUUCCAGAGUCUUUAAACAUUUAUGAAAAAUCCCGUCUUUAACACAGGCAGGGCCUAGGGAGCCCUCCUUACUCUCUUGAAUACAAUCAAUAAUGUUUGCUGCACCCACAAGCAAACAAACAAACAAACAGAGCCCAUAACUGAUGAUAUGCCUAAUACCAAAACCUAACAGAUACUGUGAGAAUAAAUACUGGACAAAUAUCACUAAGGCACAAGCAUUCUUAUAACACUAUUGAGUUAGAAAGCACGAAUAGAGUAGUGUUAGUUAUCUUGAAGUGCGGGGGGAUUAACAUCUAGAAGUCAUUAGAAGGAAUUGUUCUGGAGUACGGCUCAGUGAUAAGGUGCUCUCCUAGUGCUAAUAGAGUUCGGUUUCAAGUACUGGAGAGAAAAGGAGCUCUUUAUAUUAACUAAAUUAAGGGAAAAUCAUAUUAUAUUUUCAAUAGGUAUUCAAAAUAUGCUCACCAGAAUUAGCAGUUAAUCAGUGAUAAGAACUUUGUAAACAAGAAUGGAGUGAAGCAUCCUAACCUGUAUUAGGAUCUCUUAAGAACAACCUAUAACUAACAGCUUACUUGGUGAUAAAAUAAUAUUGAAUACUUUCUUUAGUUUGGGAACACUAUGCUGUGUUGUAGAAGAAUAAUCUAUAGCUAACAUCCUCCUUAACUGUGAAGUCUUGAAUGAGUUUGGAAACACGUACUGUGUUUUCUUGCCACUUUCAUUUAAUAUUGUAGCGGAAGUGACAGCUUGAUUUACCCUGUUCUUCGGGAUUCAUCGUCAUCACAGUGGACCCCAGUGCACUUGGAUCCAUGGUAGGACAGGAUAUUUACCCGACCAGUGGUUCCCUGAACAGUGCUGCUGGGGCCAGUGGGUCAACUAGGUAUUCUCAGCAUAGCAGUCUCCCUUUGUUGGGCUAGCUUUUACAGCAUUGCAUCAAAGUGAUAUAUUGCUAUAUUUUUAUUCUUCACUGAUAACACAAAUGCUUGAAGAGCUAAGUAGUGUAUGUAUGUAUAAUUUUUUUUGAGUUAGGAUUUCCUUGGUUAAUAAGUUUUAAAAAAUCAGAAAAAAAUAUACAGCCGAGCUAAGAUUUCUACAUAAACUUGGGUGUAACAUUUUGUGACCUUAGUAAAAUGGUAUUACAAAAGUGCAAUCCGUAUUCUUUAUUUCUGUGUAAAGUAGUUCCAUUGCUUACAGACUGUGUGUUUGAUAGAGUCUAGUGGGAGUCCUUUAACAUCUCACAUUGAAAGAUGCUAGAAAGAAGGUGACUGUACAGACACACACAUGCCUGACCAUUGGGUUGCAGUAGGACUGAAAGUAACCUUUGCUUGAGUCUUCUUCCCCGUUAUCACUAGAUAAUGGUUUAAUGGUGUUUUGCUGUAUUGCUGUGCUUUUAUCCAGUAUUGAAGCCACUUAGAUGACUGGGUGAUAUACCCGGGUAUAUGUGAGGGAACUUGGUUUACAGCGAUGCAGUACUUAAGGGUUACUUUUGUUCUUACAAGGAUAUCCAGGAAGCAAACUUUAAGACGUCAAGUAGCCGGCUCCUUGCAGCUGUCAUGUCAGCUCUGUGUCACACUUCUGUGAAGCUGACUUCUCUCUUCCCUAUUGCAUACGAUGGAGAAGUGUUGCUGCGAUCGAUUGUUAAGCAAGUCAGCACGGAGAACGACUCAACACUAGUUCAUCGUUUUCCACUUUUAGUGGGACAUAUGGAAAAGCUCAGCCAGGUAUGUCCUUUUUGGAAAUCUCUUACAGUGGAGGAAUAAAACAACAAUAAGUAGAGACAUUCAUAGGUUGGUGCCUCAUCUUCCUUAUUAAUAAUUAUUAUAUUUGCAAAUGAUUAACAAAUGACUAUCUGUUUCAUAAUAAGUUAUUCUCUAAUUGUCAUGCUUAUGUAAAAAGUCUUACUCUUUUAUUGCCAUGACAAAACACCACGAGGAAGGCAUCUUGUAGAAGAAGCGCUUCCUCGGGGCUGGCUUACAGUUUCAGAGGGUAGUGAGCCGAUGGUCAUCAUGGCAGGGAGCACAGUAACGGCAGGUGUGGCAGAGCUGCUUACAUGGUGAGCCACUAGCAGUAGGCAGAGAGAAACUGGGCUCUGUGUGUGUGGGCUCCUGAAACCCUGAAGUUCACCUCCGUGGGACACAGCUCCUCUAACAAGGUCAGACCUCUCCAACAGUGCUCCAUCUCCUAACCCUUUCAAAUGGUUCCAGUGGCUGGGAACCAAGCACUCAAUAGGACGAGCCUAUGGGGGCCGUUCUUAACUGUAAUGAGCAGUCUUAGUCUAAGUGACAGCUCCCCUCUAAAGUGUGAUUAGACAGUAAAUAUGUAUAUAAUUGUGUAUUGCUGUUUCAUUUGAAAGUAAGUUACACUGCAGAGACUCAAUGUGCCAGGAUGGUGGGUACCCACGGAGGGAAGGGCACAAACCUCUCAGAGGAGAAGGAGAGGGAAAUGGGAGUAGGGACUCUGUGAGGGGGGGACCAAAUAAGAGGGGGGAAAGCAAUCAGAUGUAAAAUGAAUAAAUCAAUUAAUG
rnacentral:lncRNA from 1 species